AUAUGUUUUGUUGAAGAUGGAAAUAUGAAAGAGGCUUGUAUGUGUCAUAAUAAAAUAAUUGAGAUGUCUGGUGUCCCAUCUGUUGCUGCCUAUUGUUCUCUUGCUAAAGGGCUUUGUAACAUUGGAGAUGAAGCCAUGAUGCUGGUUCGUGACUGCUUAGGCAAUGUUACAAGUGGGCCCAUGGAGUUCAAGUACACUCUUACAAUUCUUCAUGUAUGUAAAUUAGGUGAGGCUGAAAAAGUGAUCGAAGUGCUGAAUGAGAUGAUGCAGGAGGGUUGUCCUCCCAAUGAGGUCAUACAUUCAGCUAUUAUCUCUGGCAUGUGCAGGCAUGGGACAUUGGAAGAGGCACGGAAAGUGUUUACAAAUUUGAGAGAGCGCAAACUUCUGACAGAAGCCAAGACAAUUGUUUAUGAUGAAAUAUUAAUUGAACAUAUGAAGAGGAAGACAGCAGACUUGGUGGUGUCAGGAUUGAAAUUUUUUGGUCUGGAAUCAAAAUUGAAAGCAAAGGGAUGUACACUUCUGUCAAGUUGAAAGGGUACUUGCUUGCAUUAUCUAUUUUAUUUGCUCUAUGCUGAAUAUAACAUCUAGUACUGACAGCCAUUUGAGAGAGCUGCCUGUUAUUUGAUUUGCUGUUCACCCUGAAACUUGUGUAUAUUAUUUAUAUCGAACAUACAUAAAUCUGGAGCUGCACUUGUGGGAGGGGAAUGCAGAUUCUGUGUUGCUAGACGGUGAUCCAAUGUCCCAUGUAUGUAGACAACACGGUCAAUAUGACUCAUCUGGGUGGAACUCAAGCGGUGCUCUUGCUCAUAUCUUCAUGCUUCUCAUAACACCUAUUCAAAUAGGAUAGUAGGGGUUCCCUUGAGUGUGCCCCUGUGUGCAGAUCCAGGCAGUCAGGCCUUAAGUGCUUGAAGCCGCAAACUCAUUUAUCUUCUUAUGGCUGUGC
rnacentral:misc_RNA from 1 species